rnacentral:rRNA from 1 species
AACGAACGCUGGCGGCAUGCCUAACACAUGCAAGUCGAACGAGACCUUCGGGUCUAGUGGCGCACGGGUGCGUAACGCGUGGGAACCUGCCCUUAGGUUCGGAAUAACUCCCCGAAAGGGGUGCUAAUACCGGAUAAUGUCUUCGGACCAAAGAUUUAUCGCCUUUGGAUGGGCCCGCGUUGGAUUAGCUAGUUGGUAGGGUAAAAGCCUACCAAGGCGACGAUCCAUAGCUGGUCUGAGAGGAUGAUCAGCCACACUGGGACUGAGACACGGCCCAGACUCCGACGGGAGGCAGCAGUGGGGAAUAUUGGACAAUGGGCGAAAGCCUGAUCCAGCAAUGCCGCGUGAGUGAUGAAGGCCUUAGGGUGGUAAAGCUCUUUUACCCGGGAUGAUAAUGACAGUACCGGGAGAAUAAGCGCCGGCUAACUCCGU